rnacentral:rRNA from 1 species
GACGAACGCUGGCGGCGUGCCUAAUACAUGCAAGUCGAACGCAGUGGGGACGGGUGAGUAACACGUGGGUAACCUCCCAUCAGAGGGGAUAACACUUGGAAACAGGUGCUAAACCGAUACUGAUGGAUGGUCCCGCGGUGCAUUAGCUAGUUGGUGAGGUAACGGCCCAACAAGGCGAUGAUGCAUAGCCGCGCGGAGAGGGUGAUCGGCCACACUGGAACUGAGACACGGCCCAGACUCCUACGGGAGGCAGCAGUAGGGAAUCUUCGGCAAUGGGCGCAAGUCUGACGGAGCAACGCCGCGUGGGUGAAGAAGGUUUUCGGAUCGUAAAGCUCUGUUGUUAGGGAGGCGGUAUCUAACCAGGAAGCCACGGCUAACUACGUGCCAGCAGCCGCGGUAAUUC